ensembl:processed_transcript Gm16551 predicted gene 16551
AGUUGCGUCCCCAAAUGCGCGGCUGGCCUGAGCUAAAGGAGCGGCUCGUCACCGUGCGAGCCGAGACCAGCGUUGGGGUUCUGGGUCACCUCUUUUCUCCCGGCUUUUCCCUAGCUCUCCGGUUCCUGAAUUAGCUGUUUGUUUAUGGCUCCAGACGUGUGUGUGCCAGCGAGCCGAGGCAGCGCGCAAGGGAGGGAAUUGAUCUUUCCUCAGACUCAAAGCUGGAGCCGAAGAAGUGCGGGGUUUGGGGGGUUCUGAGUGGGACUCAGACCCUAGGUGCUGAGGGGAAGCCGGUGGGCUCUCUGGCCCGCUUCUCUAACCCCAGCGACCUUGCAGGAAUCCUCAGGCCUGAGAGCGCCCGGGCUCUGGGCUUUGCAGAAAGUGGCGGCGGCUGUGUCCCGGGUUUUAAAAUCAACGCAAAGAAAAGGAGGCAAAGCUGAAAGCUUGUCGCGUGUCAGAAGCAACCUGCCAUGAAAUCCGCUAAUGCGCCCCGACUCGCCCUUCGCGAAUUCUAUUGACCAUGGCUUUCGUCGGAGAGAGAAUUCUAACUACUGCUGCUCUGGGCUCAGAGCUGAGGUUGGAAACAAGUAAAUCUAGCAAGAAUUGAUGGAGACAUGCUGGUGAUUGGAGCCACGUGGCCUUGCAUAGAAACCUGCUUUUUACUCUGCCUGCCUUGCUCCAAUUCAGGAAAAAGGUCGGCCCCUUUGGAACAGAUUUGCUUACUUGGAAGGUUGGAUAUUCAUUUGGCAAGUUCUUUCCAGCUCUAGCCAGGCUGGGGGAGAAAAGGAGACAAUGGAAGAUCGCUCCACAGGCUUUUGGUCAAAGCUAACCCAAGGCAGGAAUACUUGAAGAAAUAUUAACCCAGACCUUUGGAUUCUGCCACAUGAAGAUCAUGUCCUAAAUUUCAACCCCACCCCCACUCCUUCAAGACUCUAGGGCAUUACGGAGCUGCUAGAGCGGAGAUGGUACGCUGAGAUCUGAGUCUGGUUGGCAGUGGGCACCCAGCCUCCAUGACCGGAGCCACAGCCAUAGUGUCCAACUGUGUGAAGAAGGAGCCUAUGCCCAGAGAAUAUCUGAUCUUUGAUUCUGGAACUCACAGCUCCAGGUUGCUGGAGAGAGUUAGUCCCUAAAUGAGGCUGGAGAAGCGGGCAAUGAGAAAGACCAGGUGAGUCCCCCAGGAAGCCAGUCACGGAGUCCGCAUUCCUGUCACAAGAAGCUGAUGCUGGAGACCCAAAAACUUGACCUGCCAAAGGGUGCCUGCCCAUCUCCCUCCUGGCCUAGUAAGGGACCUCCACCUCACCUCCUCACUGCCUCCAUCUGGGAGAAAGUCACCUCGACUCAAAAGAAAGCAAGUCUUAAGUGAAUCAGACCUCAGAAUCUGUCAGAUUUCCAAGGAACAAGUCAACCCAUACCCUUCUCCUUCAGCCCUGACACCUGAGAGUCUGUGGAAGGGAUGGCUGGCGGGGCUUUCAUUUCAACAAGUACUGGGAGCUAAACCUUCUAGGCCGGUUUCCAGAGCAGCAACAAGAACAUAAAGGGAAGCAAUUAACGGUUUUCUAACUGAGUCCCAGCUUGUGCCGCCCGACUACAAACCUCAAGGUGCAUUUAAGGGCGCUAAGGGACCUGGAUAGGUAGUGGUUGUUUUUGUUUGUUUGUUUGUUUUCCUAAUGAUACUGUUAAAUGUGUGUGAAACCACAGCCAAGAAGCCACAUUGUUCCAGAACCAGGCAGUAAAAUUGUAGGAGUGAACACUGCAGACAGCAUGCCCAACAUGGAGUACGGGGAAACAUGGAGUAUGGGAGACAUGGAGAAACUGCGGUGAACUCUGACACUUACAUUGAACAUGUUGGGAGUUUGGAGGAAAAUACAUUGUGGGCUUUUUUGUGUUUUUUAUGUAGUUUUAAAAACAACAACCCCCCCAAAACCAGGCUGUUGAUGCAAUCAUAGCAUCUCAGAUGUAGCAUAUUUAUAUUUCCCCAAAUAUAUCCACAAGAUGUGUGUGUGUGGCCUAGGUUGGUGUGGAAAACAAACAAACAUUUUGCUGAUUCCAGCACAAACUCUGAAAACCAAAACAAACAAACAAACCACUAUGGGGGACAAGGGGAGGGUGACUUUAAGCAGUCCUUUCUAUAGGGGUGGCUGGCUGAGGUCUGGGACUGUGGAGUCCAGAAAAAAACUAAGUAGAUCAUCCUGAACUAAAAGUUACCUUGGGAAACAAGACUUGAGAUACCGGGUUGAGGUCAUGUGGGGGUCAUCCAGUAUUCCUUUGGAGCAUAGCAUAGCUGAGAACUUAGCAGAACUCAGUCACUUCAGACUGGAGAUUGGGAAAUUUCUUCCCCUGGCGUGCACAGCACCAAAUCUGAGUUAAGGUGUCCUUGCCUCUCCCUCCUCUCCCUCAGGAUGCUCCUGACAGAGGUACUGCACUUCCCAACUGCCUUAGGCCCCUCGGGGUGUUGCCAGGCAAAUGAAACAAAAAGAACUCAAUAGUAAAUUAUUUUGUUCAGCCUUCUGUCUUUUUAUGAAAAUAAAACCCAACACUUUGUCAUUUUUAAUCGCAUAAGCAGACAAUAAAUCUAAUUUUGAUAUUGA